UACGUAGGGGGCUAGCGUUGUCCGGAAUCAUUGGGCGUAAAGCGCGUGUAGGCGGUCCGGUAAGUCUGCUGUGAAAGUCGGGGGCUCAACCCUCGGAAGCCGGUGGAUACUGCUGGGCUAGAGUCCGGAAGAGGAAAGUGGAAUUCCUGGUGUAGCGGUGAAAUGCGCAGAUAUCAGGAAGAACACCAAUGGCGAAAGCAGCUUUCUGGGACGGUACUGACGCUGAGACGCGAAAGCGUGGGGAGCGAACAGG
rnacentral:rRNA from 1 species